rnacentral:rRNA from 1 species
ACGCUCGACACCUACGGGAGGUAGCAGUAGGGAAUCUUCCACAAUGGACGCAAGUCUGAUGGAGCAACGCCGCGUGAGUGAAGAAGGUCUUCGGAUCGUAAAACUCUGUUGUUAGAGAAGAACACGAGUGAGAGUAACUGUUCAUUCGAUGACGGUAUCUAACCAGCAAGUCACGGCUAACUACGUGCUAGCAGCCGCGGUAAUCUGAGCGGGCUGGCAAGGC